UUUUUUUUUUUUUUUUUUUUUUUUUUUUUUUUUUUUUACGGGUGGGGGAGGGGUUUGGUCCAGAAGUUCUGGUACCCACAGCAAAUUGCUCCCAGGCCGGGGGCUGCUUGGUCUUCACUGCCCUGUGGUCCCCGAUGCCUCUGGAGUACAAAAAAAAAAUAGCCAAAUGCCUCGUCAUCUAAUUAGUGACGCGCAUGAAUGGAUUAACGAGAUUCCCACUGUCCCUAUCUAAAAUUUGAAAAAUAAAUUUUUUUUUUCCUUUUCUAGUUUUCAAUAAACGUCGCUGAUGGACUGGGCCGGUGCCCUUGGCUGUGGUUGUGCUAAAACAGUAGAUCCCGGGGGGUGGGGUUUUUUAAGUAAUUUUUAUAUUAGGAUGCCUGCUAUACCUUUGUGGUGCGGGCAGAGGAGCAAUUUUAUUUUUAUUUUUCUUGACUUAAUUUCCCUUUUCUUUUAAGUCUCCUCUAUAUAUUUUGUCCCUAUCUACUAUCUAGCGAAACCACAGCCAAGGGAACGGGCUUGGAAAAAUCAGCGGGGAAAGAAGACCCUGUUGAGCUUGACUCUAGUCUGACUCUGUGAAGAGACAUGAGAGGUGUAGCAUAAGUGGGAGGCCGUGAACCCUCGCGGUUGUGUCGUGCCGUCAGUGAAAUACCACUACUUUCAUCGUUUCUUUACUUACUCGGUGAAGCGGAAAGCGGACCAUGAGUGUCCACGCUUCUAGCACUAAGUGCAAGGCCCUUCGUUGGCCCGCACGAUCUGUUCCGAGGACAGUGUCAGGCGGGGAGUUUGACUGGGGCGUACAUCUGUCAAAUGGUACGCAGUGGUCCUAAGGCGAGCUCAGCGAGGACAGAAACCUCGCGUAGAGCAAAAGGGCAAUGCUUGCUUGAUCUGAUUU
rnacentral:ncRNA from 1 species